CACCGCCCGUCACGCCAUGGGAGUUGGUUCUACCCGAAGAUGGUGCGCUAACCGCAAGGAGGCAGUCCAGCCACGGUAGGAUCAAUGACUGGGGCGAAGUCGUAAACAAGGUACC
rnacentral:rRNA from 1 species